UACGUAGGGUGCGAGCGUUAAUCGGAAUUACUGGGCGUAAAGCGUGCGCAGGCGGUUCUAUAAGACAGGUGGGAAAUCCCCGGGCUCAACCUGGGAACUGCAUUUGUGACUGUAGAGCUGGAGUACGGUAGAGGGGGAUGGAAUUCCGCGUGUAGCAGUGAAAUGCGUAGAUAUGCGGAGGAACACCGAUGGCGAAGGCAAUCCCCUGGACCUGUACUGACGCUCAUGCACGAAAGCGUGGGGAGCAAACAGG
rnacentral:rRNA from 1 species